CUACGUGCCAGCAGCCGCGGUAAUACGUAGGGUGCGAGCGUUAAUCGGAAUUACUGGGCGUAAAGCGAGCGCAGACGGUUACUUAAGCAGGAUGUGAAAUCCCCGGGCUCAACCUGGGAACUGCGUUCUGAACUGGGUGACUAGAGUGUGUCAGAGGGAGGUAGAAUUCCACGUGUAGCAGUGAAAUGCGUAGAGAUGUGGAGGAAUACCGAUGGCGAAGGCAGCCUCCUGGGAUAACACUGACGUUCAUGCUCGAAAGCGUGGGUAGCAAACAGGAUUAGAUACCCUGGUAGUCCACGCCCUAAACGAUGUCAAUUAGCUGUUGGGCAACUUGAUUGCUUAGUAGCGUAGCUAACGCGUGAAAUUGACCGCCUGGGGAGUACGGUCGCAAGAUUAAAACUCAAAGGAAUUGACGGGGACCCGCACAAGCGGUGGAUGAUGUGGAUUAACUCGAUGCAACGCGAAGAACCUUACCUGGUCUUGACAU
rnacentral:rRNA from 1 species